rnacentral:rRNA from 1 species
CUACGGGACGCAGCAGUGAGGAAUAUUGCACAAUGGGGGGAACCCUGAUGCAGCAACGCCGCGUGGAGGAUGACGCAUUUCGGUGUGUAAACUCCUUUUAUAUGUCAAGAAAAUGACGGUAGCAUAUGAAUAAGCACCGGCUAACUCCGUGCCAGCAGCCGCGGUAAUACGGAGGGUGCAAGCGUUACUCGGAAUCACUGGGCGUAAAGGACGCGUAGGCGGGUUAUCAAGUUAGGUGUGAAAUCCUACAGCUUAACUGUUGAACUGCACUUGAAACUGGUAACCUAGAGUAUGGGAGGGGCAGAUGGAAUUAGUGGUGUAGGGGUAAAAUCCGUAGAGAUCACUAGGAAUACCUAAAGCGAAGGCGAUCUGCUGGAACAUAACUGACGCUAAGGCGUGAAAGCGUGGGGAGCAAACAGGAUUAGAUACCCCGGUAGUC